rnacentral:sRNA from 1 species
ACUAUUUUGGGCUGAGAUGAUUUAGCCAUUGGUUGUUCAGCGAUAGUCUUUGAUUUGGCGGCAUUGUGAACGGGCGUCUGGUCUGCUCUGCUCUAGUCGGGUCUUUCGAACUUGUUGUUUGGCUUUUGGUGUGAUUUGCCUCUUAGGCAGCCGCGUAUAAUGUUUGUGUUUGGAAGUUACGGCAUUUUAUGGACUUAAGUGGAACUGUGAAAUGUUAUAAAGUGCACAAACUCGACGUGUUCCGUUUGGAAAAUAUAAAAUAAAAAAUGAAUUGAAAACAUAAUGCACAUAUGAGGCUGAUAUAUCCAGACGAUUUUCCUCUUAAUAGCGUACAACAACAACAAGCACAAGUCACACAAAAUACAACAAGAAAAAAAUUAAAGAAAAAAAAUCAUUCCUAUAGACAGACCUACUAAAAAAGCGUACAACAAAUUAUAGGCCAGACGUCGAAGGUGUAUGUACACACGGUUGCGGGUACAUACACACACACGCACACUCAAGAUCGGGUCGAUCGUGAAUUUUCUUGUUAGUUUUUCUCCACCAACCAACACCAACAACAACAAUUCAUAUUUUUGUACCAAUACAAUGCCAUAGAAUGUUGUUGCCGCAUGAAAAGUUCGUUUCAGCUGCUUUACGGAAACAUUGUUUGUUGUGUGCGUUCGGCUGUUUUGUGCGUGCCUUUUUUUCGUCCAUUUCGAAUGAAUGCUACAAAAUGCGGGAGUGUAAUUAUCGAAAAUCAAUUUCUUGUACGAAAAUUGCUCCAAAAAAUUAUAAUGUUGUUUCCAUUCACACUUAAAUCGUCGGGGGAAAAAUGUAAAGUUUUCUAUUAAUGGCGGCGAUGCCCUGAAAAUAAUGUAAAAUGAGUUUAAUCGAAAUUGUAUGUAUGUUCGACUGAAGAAGCAGCAGAACGAGAAGGAGAAAAAUAAUAAAAAACAUCAACAUUAAAUUGUUGAUCCUCUAAAUUGAGUUACUUAAGCUAUGUAUGUGAUAUCACAAACCAAACAACGAAAGAUAACAAUAACACAACAAGAACAA